AACGAACGCUGGCGGCAGGCCUAACACAUGCAAGUCGAGGGAUACCUUCGGGUCUAGUGGCGCACGGGUGGGUGACUCGUGGGAACCUGCCCUUAGGUUCGGAAUAACUCCCCGAGAGGGGUGCUAAUAUCGGAUAAUGUGUUCUGACCGAAGAUUUCUUGCCUUUGGCUGGGCCCGCGUUGGAUUAGCUAGUUGGUAGGGUAAAGGCCUACGAAGGGGACGUUCCAUCGCUGGUAUGGGAGGAUGAUCAGCGACACUGGGACUGAGACACGGCCCAGUCGGCUACAGGGGGCAGCAGUGGGGAAUAUGGGCCAAUGGGCGCACGUGUGAGACAGCAAUGCCGUGGGAGUGAUGCAGCCCUUAGGAUUGUAAAGUUCUGUUAACCGGGAUGAUAAUGACAGUACCGGGCGAAUAAGCUCCGGCUAACUCCGUG
rnacentral:rRNA from 1 species